GUGAGUCAUCGAAUCUUUGAACGCACCUUGCGCCCUUUGGUAUUCCGAAGGGCACGCCUGUUUGAGUGUCGUGAAAUUCUCAACCCUGUGCUUUUCUUGUGAAAGCGCGUGGGCUUGGACUUGGAGGCUUUGCUGGUCCUCGCGGAUCGGCUCCUCUCAAAUGCAUUAGCGAGACCCUUGUGGUGCCGCCCCCGGUGUGAUAAUUGUCUACGCCGUGGUGGUACGCCACGAUUGUGGGGGACCUGCUUCCAACCGUCGAAAGACAAACUUUAUCGAAACUUGACCUCAAAUCAGGCGGGA
rnacentral:misc_RNA from 1 species